UACGUAGGGUGCGAGCGUUGUCCGGAAUUAUUGGGCGUAAAGAGCUUGUAGGCGGUUUGUCGCGUCGGCUGUGGAAACCCGGGGCUCAACCCCGGGCCUGCAGUCGAUACGGGCAGACUAGAGUGCGGUAGGGGAGACUGGAAUUCCUGGUGUAGCGGUGAAAUGCGCAGAUAUCAGGAGGAACACCGGUGGCGAAGGCGGGUCUCUGGGCCGUAACUGACGCUGAGGAGCGAAAGCGUGGGGAGCGAACAGG
rnacentral:rRNA from 1 species